rnacentral:lncRNA from 1 species
UUUGCUGUGUGUUAGUUAUUGUUAGCAUACAGAGUGUGCGUGCGCGUGUGCAUGGUCACCGCGCCUGUACGUGGGCUAGGUAGUGCGUGAGUGGGUUUGUGUUCGUGUAGUAGUGGCACACGAUCUGGCCUCGUGGGCGUCCUGUAACUGUAUAUAUACGCCCUCCGAUGGCUGAUGCAAAGUGUGUUGAACCUCAUUCCUGCUUUCAUGGUAUCAGAGCCACGGAGCACCUGCAAAACGGGCGAAGCAGCGGCAGGUGGUGGUGGUGAAGGCGGAGCUGGGUUAGGAGCGGCGAACGGGAAGCUGAGCUCAUCAAACCGAACAUGGCGAGAGGUGAGCACACGCCGCGUAACAGGGUCAAAGCAGCGAUAGCCGCGAUGGCUGGUCUUCUGCGACAAUGUGUCGGCCGUCUACCUCUCCAGCAACCCUGUGGACCACCGGCGUACCAAGCAUAUCGAGCUGGACAUCCUCUUCGUUCGGGAGCGCGUGGCGCUCGGCGAGUUCCGCGUCCUUCACGUCCCUACGCGUCAGCAGUUCGCCGACGUGAUGACGAAAGGAUUGCCCACUGAUGUCUUCAGGGAAUUUCGUUCCAGCUUGUGCGUCUCUACACCCGACGCUCCAGCUGCGGGGGUGUGUUAGCAUACAGAGUGUGCGUGCGCGUGUGCAUGGUCACCGCGCCUGUACGUGGGCUAGGUAGUGCGUGAGUGGGUUUGUGUUCGUGUAGUAGUGGCACACGAUCUGGCCCCGUGGGCGUCCUGUAACUGUAUAUAUACGCCCUCCGAUGGCUGAUGCAAAGUGUGUUGAACCUCAUUUCUGCUUUCAGUUAUGUCUAUAACAGUCACCAAAUAAAAAGUGGGCAUGCCAAAUACUGUGCUUGGCAUUUCUUGUAAGCAGGUCAUGACUAGAUAUGUUACCAUUUUUCAUGAAUUAGUUUAUAUAAACUUCAUCAUAAGUUUCGGCCACCACUCCUCUCCCCGGGCACCACCCCUGCCUCGCCCAGAUCUGCCGAGUGGGUAGGAACAGCUGGUCAUCCUAUACAUGACAUGUGUUGUUUAAUUUUGAUUGGGUAUUAUUCUCUUCUGUUCGUGUAGUAGAUACAUGUUGGAGACUGCUGGCCCCGCCUUUGAUACUCCAGUUCUGAUUAUUAGUCUCCCCUUUUAACAUUU